GCUGGACAUGGUGGUGUGUGCCUGUAGUCCCAGCUAUGCAGGAGGCUGAGACAGGAGGAUUGCUUGAGUUCAGGAGUUCUGGGCUGUAGUGCACUAUGCACAUAGGGUGUCUGCACUAAGUUUGGCAUCAAUAUGGUGACCUCUCGGGGGCGGGGCCCACCAGGUUGCCUCAGGAGGGGUGAACCGGGCCAGGUCCAAAACAGAGCAGGUCAAAAUUCCCAUGCUGAUCAGUAGUGGGAUUGCACCUGUGAAUAUCUGCCGCACUCCAGCCUGGGCAACAUAGUGAGACCCCAUCUCUA
rfam:Otolemur garnettii contig013297, whole genome shotgun sequence.